GGGAGCAUCCAAUUUCAGGUACUCUGUCAUUUUCACCUUACUUUCCCCAGAGGAGCUAGGUUGUUGUGCGUCAACAACAGGAGCUACUGGUUCAGGUGGUGAUGGUGGUACUGGUUCAUUUGGCUCUGAGUGUGCUGCACUUGGAUGGAUAGGUGAGGGUGGAUACAUAGGAUAUGGUGGGUAAUACUGAGGAUAAGGCAUAUAUGGCAUAUAAGUAGGCUAUGGGACAAAACUAGAGUACUCCGACAUACCUCCCAUCGGAUACCCUGGGUCCUGAGGAAACGCUGGAUAACCAAACCCCGAGGCCUGAGCGCCUCCCUAAGACUCUCCCAUACCUUCUUCAGAUCUGCCUACACCCAUGCUUUCAUCUACUGACUGAUCAACCUCCAUAGCCUCCCUCACUUCCUCUGAUCUCCCUCCUCUAGCUGUUCCUCUUCUGCUCUCGUCUAAAGACCUUCUAGGGUCCAUUGACAUACCUUCCCUGCUAGAUCUCUGAGACCUUGCCCUUGGCAAUGCAAGAGGACGAGCAUCUAUUCUCUCACUAUCUGGUGGGACUCCAGUCAAUCGUGCAGAUCGACGAGUUCCUCUCAUCUUAACUCUGGAAAACAACACAUAUCAUAGCACAUCAGCAUAUAAACAUCACAUAACAGUAAGGCACAUGCAUAAAUCAUGGCAUUUCACAGCAUCAAAUAGACAGGACACAACAUCCUAUCCUAGUGGACAUGGUUUCCUAUUGUGCUUGACCACUUCUAACCUCUAUGAGCCCGACACUCUCUCUAUAGGUCCGAUCAUGUGAACCUAGGGCUCUGAUACCAAUCUGUAACGACCCGAAAAUCGGACCGCC
rnacentral:lncRNA from 1 species